rnacentral:tRNA from 1 species
GCUGGCAUAGCUCAGUGGCAGAGCCCGUGCAUGGUGAGCACGAGACCCGCGUUCAAUUCGCGGUGCCAGCUCCA